GCGUGAUGACGAGGCACCACGGUGCUGAAGUGACAAAUGCCCUGCUUCCAGGAAAAGCCUCUAAGCAUCAGGUAACAUCAAAUCGUACCCCAAACCGACACAGGUGGUCAGGUAGAGAAUACCAAGGCGCUUGAGAGAACUCGGGUGAAGGAACUAGGCAAAAUGGUGCCGUAACUUCGGGAGAAGGCACGCUGACAUGUAGGUGAAGCCCCUGCGGGUGGAGCUGAAGUCAGUCGAAGAUACCAGCUGGCUGCAACUGUUUAUUAAAAACACAGCACUGUGCAAACACGAAAGUGGACGUAUACGGUGUGACGCCUGCCCGGUGCCGGAAGGUUAAUUGAUGGGGUUAUCGCAAGAGAAGCUCCUGAUCGAAGCCCCGGUAAACGGCGGCCGUAACUAUAACGGUCCUAAGGUAGCGAAAUUCCUUGUCGGGUAAGUUCCGACCUGCACGAAUGGCGUAAUGAUGGCCAGGCUGUCUCCACCCGAGACUCAGUGAAAUUGAACUCGCUGUGAAGAUGCAGUGUACCCGCGGCAAGACGGAAAGACCCCGUGAACCUUUACUACAGCUUGACACUGAACAUUGAGCCUUGAUGUGUAGGAUAGGUGGGAGGCUUUGAAGCGUGGACGCCAGUCUGCGUGGAGCCGACCUUGAAAUACCACCCUUUAAUGUUUGAUGUUCUAACCUGGCGCCGUGAUCCGGCGUGGGGACAGUGUCUGGUGGGUAGUUUGACUGGGGCGGUCUCCUCCCAAAGUGUAACGGAGGAGCACGAAGGUCAGCUAAUCCUGGUCGGACAUCAGGAGGUUAGUGCAAUGGCAUAAGCUGGCUUGACUGCGAGAGUGACGGCUCGAGCAGGUGCGAAAGCAGGUCAUAGUGAUCCGGUGGUUCUGUAUGGAAGGGCCAUCGCUCAACGGAUAAAAGGUACUCCGGGGAUAACAGGCUGAUACCGCCCAAGAGUUCAUAUCGACGGCGGUGUUUGGCACCUCGAUGUCGGCUCAUCACAUCCUGGGGCUGAAGUAGGUCCCAAGGGUAUGGCUGUUCGCCAUUUAAAGUGGUACGCGAGCUGGGUUUAGAACGUCGUGAGACAGUUCGGUCCCUAUCUGCCGUGGGCGCUGGAGAAUUGAGGGGGGCUGCUCCCAGUACGAGAGGACCGGAGUGGACGCAUCACUGGUGUUCGGGUUGUCAUGCCAAUGGCACUGCCCGGUAGCUAAAUGCGGAAGAGAUAAGUGCUGAAAGCAUCUAAGCACGAAACUUGCCCCG
rnacentral:rRNA from 1 species